rnacentral:rRNA from 1 species
AUUGAACGCUGGCGGCAUGCCUUACACAUGCAAGUCGAACGGCAGCACGGGAGCAAUCCUGGUGGCGAGUGGCGAACGGGUGAGUAAUAUAUCGGAACGUGCCCAGUCGUGGGGGAUGACGCAGCGAAAGCUGUGCUAAUACCGCAUACGAUCUCUGGAUGAAAGCGGGGGACUCGCAAGGGCCUCGCGCGAUUGGAGCGGCCGAUAUCAGAUUAGCUAGUUGGCGGGGUAAAGGCCCACCAAGGCGACGAUCUGUAGCUGGUCUGAGAGGACGACCAGCCACACUGGAACUGAGACACGGUCCAGACUCCUACGGGAGGCAGCAGUGGGAAUUUUGGACAAUGGGCGCAAGCCUGAUCCAGCAAUGCCGCGUGCAGGAUGAAGGCCUUC